rnacentral:rRNA from 1 species
AGAACGAACGCUGGCGGCGUGCCUAAUACAUGCAAGUCGAACGCGAAAGCCCCGCAAGGGGCAAGUAGAGUGGCAAACGGGUGAGUAACGCGUGGGCGACCUACCUUCGAGUGAGGGAUAACCUUCCGAAAGGAGGGCUAAUACCGCAUGACAUCCCGUGUUUGGAUACACGGAUAUCAAAGCCGGGGAUCGCAAGACCUGGCGCUUGGAGAGGGGCCCGCGUCCGAUUAGCUAGUUGGUGAGGUAACGGCUCACCAAGGCUUCGAUCGGUA